rnacentral:lncRNA from 1 species
GGAGAACUUCAAAUAAUAUCACAGAGGUCAGGGUCAAAGAAGUAAAGGGAGGGAGGGUCAAAGAAGUAAAGGGAGGGAGGUUCAAAGUAACCUGAGAUAUCCAGAAGAGGAACUAAUGUAUUUGCUGUCUGAUAGUACUUCUAUCAUUCAUAUUAUUAUUUUUUGCUAGUACCAAUCAAGUAUGACAAGACUGAUGCGUGCAAGAUUUUUUUUUCUGCUCUCCAUCUAAUUAUAUUGCAUGAAAUCUUCUUCCCAGUUUGUAUUUAGAUAUUUGAGAGCAUUGCCUGCUUGAGAUUCAGAGGCAGCUUGCAAGGAUCCUGGUGUUUCAAAUGAGUAAAUGGGGACUGAAUGUCUAGUGGGGAUUGCUGUAAAGGAAUCACUUUCUUCAAAGAGCAUUUUUUUUCUCAGGAUAUCCCUCAUUUUGAUGUUCUGCUGAAAAGGACUGGAGUAUCACGUCAGGAGCUUUAUUUGAUCAUUAGGAAAACUUAGAGAUGGAUGGCUUGUUUUUAUAUGGAAGAGUCUUUAAGUGUUUUUGAUUUUAGAAAUCAACCUAUGUUGUCUCUCAGUACUUAGGUAAAUACGUACAAUAGCAGAGGGAGAAGAUGAACCUUUUGGCUUUUGGGAAAAAAAAAAUGAUGCAGACAAAAUAUUGUUUGUGGGGUUUCAGUUUGAGUCG